ACUGACGACUGACAACGGCGAUAAUAUGGUAUUUUAUAACCUAAACAUUUAUUUAUUUAAAUGUUAUACACGAUUUUUAUACGAGAAAUGGCAACAAUUACAUGCUGUAUGACAAUGAAAAUGCAAGAAAUAUUUAUAGUGAGAAGUUAAAAGAUAUGAAAAUGAAGUGAAGUGAAGGAUAACGGCAUUGAAAAUUAAUGAAUCUUGUCAAUGGUCUGGCUGGUGUUGACAGAAGAUAAAAGAGAGGAACAAUGAUUAUUAAUAAAUUGUAAACAUCAAAAAAUUCCAAAACUAUAUUGUGGUGUUGAAAUUCAGUAAAUUUUCUUGUAAAGCUUGGAGCAUUGCAAAUGUUUGGUGUUAAUGUAUGAGAGUACUUAACAUGUAAACAAUAUUGAUGAAGUUGUCUGCUUAUUUGGGGCCAAAUAAGGAGAGAAAUUUUCUUGGAAAAGAAUCAAAAGCAAUAAAGGAUAGCAUGACAGAAGAAUGCAGAAGGGUUGCUCAGCUAUUAACUUCGCCCUAUAAUCUUUAUUUAUUUCAAUUGUGUUGUAAGAAGUAUUUUUUAAACAGUAAAACUUUCUCCAAUUUAUAGACUACCUAUUAUGAUUCAUUGUUGUGUUUUAUUAAGGUCCCUACCCUUAUCUAAAAAAUAUUUUAUAAACCAAAAUGUUUAAUGCUGUUCGCCUAUUAUUCUUUAUGAAACAUUAAAAUA